rnacentral:rRNA from 1 species
UGGGGAAUAUUGCGCAAUGGGCGAAAGCCUGAUGCAGCGACGCCGCGUGAGGGAAGAAGGCCUUCGGGUCGUAAACCACUGUCUAGAGGGAAGAAACCAUUGAGGUCGAACAGGCCACUUUGCUGACGGUACCACUGAAGGAAGAACCGGCUAACUCCGUGCAAGCAGCCGCGGUAAUACGGAGGGUGCGAGCGUUAAUCGGAAUCACUGGGCGUAAAGCGCACGUAGGCGGUGUCGUAAGUCGGAUGUGAAAGCCCUCGGCUCAACCGGGGAACCGCAUUCGAUUCUGCGAUGCUUGAGUGCCGGAGAGGGUGGCGGAAUUCCAGGUGUAGGAGUGAAAUCCGUAGAGAUCUGGAGGAACACCAGUGGCGAAGGCGGCCACCUGGCCGGCAACUGACGCUGGGGUGCGAAAGCGUGGGGAUCAAACA